rnacentral:lncRNA from 10 species
UGGAGAGGAUCAAGGGAAAUAAUGAUCAUGGAUGUGCUUAGGAGACGUAAGGUGAGAUACACCAUCAUGGAGCUGUCUCUGCUCUCCCUGUCCCUUCAGUGUGCAUGGUCCAUACCACUCAGUCAUUCCUUACCCACUCUACAGAUUUUACUAAGAAUUGCUGUGAGCUGGGCACCCUUCUACGCUCUGCAGACACCAUGGCUAGUAAGACAGGCAAAGACCUGCCAUCUGGAGCUUGUUUGGAUAUAGGGUAGGGGGACGGGGAGAAGGGAGAUAAACAAUAAACAAGUAAAUUUA